rnacentral:rRNA from 1 species
AAUGAACGCUGGCGGCAGGCCUAACACAUGCAAGUCGAACGGGCACUUCGGUGCUAGUGGCGGACGGGUGAGUAACGCGUGGGAACGUGCCCUUUGGUUCGGAAUAGCCUCGGGAAACUGGGAGUAAUACCGGAUAUGCCCUACGGGGGAAAGAUUUAUCGCCAAGGAUCGGCCCGCGUUGGAUUAGGUAGUUGGUGGGGUAAUGGCCUACCAAGCCGACGAUCCAUAGCUGGUUUGAGAGGAUGAUCAGCCACACUGGGACUGAGACACGGCCCAGACUCCUACGGGAGGCAGCAGUGGGGAAUCUUAGACAAUGGGGGAAACCCUGAUCUAGCCAUGCCGCGUGAUCGAUGAAGGCCUUAGGGUUGUAAAGAUCUUUCAGUUGGGAAGAUAAUGACGGUACCAACAGAAGAAGCCCCGGCUAACUCCGUGCCAGCCGCCGCGGUAAAAC